AUACGUAGGUGACAAGCGUUAUCCGGAUUUACUGGGCGUAAAGGGCGUGUAGGCGGUCUUGCAAGUCAGAAGUGAAAUUCCUGAGCUCAACUCGGGCGCUGCUUCUGAAACUGCAGGACUUGAGUGCUGGAGGGGAUAGCGGAAUUCCUAGUGGAGCGGUAAAAUGCGCAGAUAUUAGGAAGAACACCGGUGGCGAAGGCGGCCAUCUGGACAGUAACUGACGCUGAGGCGCGAAAGCGUGGGGAGCAAACAGGAGUAGAUACCCUGGUAGUCCACGCCGUAAACGGUGAAUACUAGGUGUAGGGGGUAUCGACUCCCUCUGUGCCGCAGUUAACACAAUAAGUAUUCCGCCUGGGGAGUACGGCCGCAAGGUUGAAACUCAAAUGAAUUGACGGGG
rnacentral:rRNA from 1 species